UACGUAGGGGGCAAGCGUUGUCCGGAAUCAUUGGGCGUAAAGAGCGUGUAGGCGGCUCGGUAAGUCCGCUGAGAAAGUCCAGGGCUCAACCCUGGAAUGCCGGUGGAAACUGUCGAGCUAGAGUCCGGAAGAGGCGAGUGGAAUUCCUGGUGUAGCGGUGAAAUGCGCAGAUAUCAGGAGGAACACCAAUGGCGAAGGCAGCUCGCUGGGACGGUACUGACGCUGAGACGCGAAAGCGUGGGGAGCAAACAGG
rnacentral:rRNA from 1 species